rnacentral:rRNA from 1 species
AUUGAACGCUGGCGGCAGGCCUAACACAUGCAAGUCGAGCGCGCGGCGGACGGGUGAGUAAUGUAUUGGAACUGCCCGAUAGAGGGGGAUAACUACUGGAAACGGUGGCUAAUACCGCAUACUAUUGGAUGCCCCAUAUGGGAUUAGCUAGUAGGUGGGGUAAAGGCUCACCUAGGCGACGAUCGCUAGCUGGUCUGAGAGGAUGAUCAGCAACACUGGGACUGAGACACGGCCCAGACUCCUACGGAGGCAGCAGUGGGGAAUAUUGCACAAUGGGAGCAAGCCUGAUGCAGCCAUGCCGCGUGUAUGAUGAAGGCCUUAGGGUUGUAAAGUACUUUCAGCGGGGAGGCGUUACCCGCAGAAGAAGCACCGGCUAACUCCGUGCCAGCAGCCGCGGUAAUAC